GACGAACGCUGGCGGCGUGCUUAACACAUGCAAGUCGAACGGAAAGGCCCUGCUUGCAGGGUACUCGAGUGGCGAGCGGGUGAGUAACACGUGGGUGAUCUGCCCUGCACUUCGGGAUAAGCUUGGGAAACUGGGUCUAAUACCGGAUAGGAGCCAUCUUUAGUGUGGUGGUUGGAAAGUUUUUUCGGUGUAGGAUGAGCUCGCGGCCUAUCAGCUUGUUGGUGGGGUAAUGGCCUACCAAGGCGGCGACGGGUAGCCGGCCUGAGAGGGUGUACGGCCACAUUGGGACUGAGAUACGGCCCAGACUCCUACGGGAGGCAGCAGUGGGGAAUAUUGCACAAUGGGCGCAAGCCUGAUGCAGCGACGCCGCGUGGGGGAUGAAGGCCUUCGGGUUGUAAACUCCUUUCGCUAGGGACGAAGCUUUUUUGUGACGGUACCUAGAUAAGAAGCACCGGCUAACUACGUG
rnacentral:rRNA from 1 species